GAUGAACGCUGGCGGCGUGCCUAAUACAUGCAAGUCGAGCGAAUGGAUUAAGAGCUUGCUCUUAUGAAGUUAGCGGCGGACGGGUGAGUAGCACGUGGGUAACCUGCCCAUAAGACUGGGAUAACUCCGGGAAACCGGGGCUAAUACCGGAUAACAUUUUGAACCGCAUGGUUCGAAAUUGAAAGGCGGCUUCGGCUGUCACUUAUGGAUGGACCCGCGUCGCAUUAGCUAGUUGGUGAGGUAACGGCUCACCAAGGCAACGAUGCGUAGCCGACCUGAGAGGGUGCUCGGCCACACUGGGACUGAGACACGGCCCAGACUCCUACGGGGGGCAGCAGUAGGGAAUCUUCCGCAAUGGACGAAAGUCUGACGGAGCAACGCCGCGUGAGUGAUGAAGGCUUUCGGGUCGUAAAGCUCUGUUGUUAGGGAAGAACAAGUGCUAGUUGAAUAAGCUGGCACCUUGACGGUACCUAACCAGAAAGCCACGGCUAACUACGUGCCAGCCGCCACUGUAA
rnacentral:rRNA from 1 species